rnacentral:rRNA from 1 species
UGGGGAAUAUUGCACAAUGGGGGAAACCCUGAUGCAGCGAUGCCGCGUGGAGGAAGAAGGUUUUCGGAUUGUAAACUCCUGUCUUGAGGGACGAUAAUGACGGUACCUCAGGAGGAAGCUCCGGCUAACUACGUGCCAGCAGCCGCGGUAAUACGUAGGGAGCAAGCGUUGUCCGGAAUUACUGGGUGUAAAGGGAGCGUAGGCGGGAUGGUAAGUCAGAUGUGAAAUUUAUGGGCUCAACCCAUAAACUGCAUUUGAAACUGCUGUUCUUGAGUGAAGUAGAGGCAAGCGGAAUUCCUAGUGUAGCGGUGAAAUGCGUAGAUAUUAGGAGGAACAUCGGUGGCGAAGGCGGCUUGCUGGGCUUUUACUGACGCUGAGGCUCGAAAGCGUGGGGAGCAAA